GACGAACCAUGCAAACGUUAUUCGGAUUCACUGGGCUUAAAGCGUGCGUAGGCGGUCUUGUUAGUCAGGUGUGAAAGCCCUCAGCCUAACUGAGGAAUUGCGCUUGAUACUGCAUGACUAGAGAAUGAUAGAGGUGGGUGGAACUGAUGGUGGAGCGGUGAAAUGCGUUGAUAUCGUUUGGAACGCCAAUGGUGAAAACAAGUAGCUGGGAGUGUGCCGACGCUGAGACACGAAAGCCAGGGGAGCGAACGGG
rnacentral:rRNA from 1 species